rnacentral:lncRNA from 10 species
CCCUCCUGUUAGCGAGCAGUGGUGCUGGCUGCCUUCUCACACUGCCACUUGGCAACCAGAAUACAGGGACUUCACCGUGAGUUUGAGCUAAAACUUGCCUGCUAGUGAAUCUUAGCAUAGGUAAUUUUGGGUUAGGAGAAUUUUGGUUUCUCUGAUGACUUGGUUGACAUCUUUGAGAUUCAGCAAGCCCCAAUUCAGAUUAGACUUAAAACUUAUCAGUGCAAGUCAGACAGCAGUGAUUACUCUGCUUGUUGAGACCUAGGGACAUCCGUUUGAAUUCAGUCCGCACCCCAUGGACGAGCCCAGCUCAAUGCCAGGAAGUUUAUGAAUUCCUGGGGCCUUCUAGUCUCAUGGUUACAUCUGCUGCCAAAAACCAGAUCCUAUGAAGUUAGUUCAGUUUAGUGAUCUUCUCACCAAGCUGCAGGGGCCAUCCUGUUUUGUACCAUGGUGAUGAGGCACAGAGCACACCCUCUUUUUACCUUCAAAGAAAGAAGCCAGACAUUGAUACAGGUUACUGUGUAUGCAGCAGACUAUCCUGAAGGUUUAGGGAGACAGAGUAUUGAUAUCUCAGAUCUGCAAACAACAGAACAGCCCCUUGGGGAUCACUAUGAUCCAGGCAGAAGGCAGAAUUUGUUUUUUAAUCAAAUCACCAAUUAAUGACUGAAAACAGUAUCUCCUGGAACAAGAAAUUAUUAUUCCUCUAGGCUUGAAACAAUAUGAAACAGAGGAAAGUUAUUUGCAAAAAUUGGCUGAAUGUGCAAAUUAUGCUUCCACGUGAAUAGCAAAGUAAUUAAAACCAUUUUCAGAAAGUGAACUACUUUCUUAAAACUCCCUUCCUUCACUUCGAUACCUAACUGAUUUCUAUUCUCCUUCAAAACCCCAUUCUAACAUCACCUCUUCUGGGAAGCUUCUCUGACUUCUCUGAGGCCCUCCCAGGCUAUCAUUUCCUUCCUGAUAAUGGCUCCUUAUAGCACUGGCCACUUAUAUGGAAGUGGUGCAUUUGAGUCUCUCCCACUGCACCAUGGGUUUUCAAUGGAAGAGUGUGUGUAUCAUUCCUCUUUGUAAUCCCAGCUCUGUCAUCACAAGAUGGAAUUCAAGCAUGUACCUGGUAGUUGAUCAAGCUCU